CCCCCGGGUUUAGAAUCCGGAGGCCGGGGUGGCCAGGCCCCCCACGUUUAGAAUCCGGAGGCCGGGGUGGCCAGGCCCCCGGGUUUAGAAUCCGGAGGCUGGGAUGGCCAGGCCCCCGGGUUUAGAAUCCAGAGGCUGGGAUGGCCAGGCCCCCGGGUUUAGAAUCCUGCUGAGGCCACGGAGAGGCUCAGGCCGUUUUUGCGUUUCCCAUCUCACCUGUGCUGGUUCCCGUCUCCAGGGAUGGUCCUGCCUCCUGUCCUUGGGCCCUCCCAGCUGCUUCCUUUGCUCCUGCGCUGAGGAAGGCUUUUGCCCCCCAGUGGGGCAGCAUGGGCCCUCCCUGUUGCCGGCAUCGUUAUUUUCUCCCAGCUCCUGAUGGGUCCCUUGGGUUGUGCUUCGGGGCGGGGCAGGCGGGUGUGACUGCACUGCGCCCGUCCAGCCUCCCACCCGCACCUCCUGCCCUUCCCGAGCCCCCUCCUCUGUCAUUUCUCCCCCUGGAGUUCCUCACGCACAGGGCUUUGUCCUAAGUGGUCGCCACACGCCGUUUUAAGAGAAACCUGAGCGUUGGGGAAGCAGGUCCUGGGGACCAAGGUGGACGCGGAGCGUGACGGCGUGAAGGUGCCCACCACGCUGGCCGAGUACUGCGUGAAGACCAAGGCGCCGGCGCCCGACGAGGGCUCAGACCUCUUCUACGACGACUACUACGAGGACGGCGAGGUGGAGGAGGAGGCCGACAGCUGCUUCGGGGACGAUGAGGAUGACUCUGGCACGGAGGAGUCCUGACACCACCAGAAUAAACUUGCCGAGUUUACCUCACUAGGGCCGGACCCGUGGCUCCUUAGACGACAGACUACCUCACGGAGGUUUUGUGCUGGUCCCCGUCUCCUCUGGU
rnacentral:lncRNA from 10 species